GUUCUCACGCACGGCACACGGAAGCAAGCACGGCGUGAGUUCGUCCCUCUGCGCACGCCCCGGUUUCCUCGCGUCCGCGGCUGCUCACCCGAACUCCAGAUGACCUCCAGGGAGUUGGAAACUGCCAGCUCCAACCGAGCCUUUCCUCUUCCCCAGGAGGACGCAACGCGGAUGCUUGCAGCUGGUCACCACGACUCCGACUCCGACUCCUGGCCGCCGCCCGCGCGGCUGUGCGCUGGCCGUCAUAGCGCGCGGGAGGACGCGCCUGGCAGCGGCAGGAAGUGACGCGCUCACUACCCCGUCCCGCGGCCGCAGCCAAUCUCUCCCCGCGAGGGCGGAGGCGCCGAAAUCAAAGCGAGAGCGCCUCGGCCUCUCCAGCUGUCCGCGAUUCCUAGAUGAAGGAAAGGUGAUCCAGGCAAAGAGGCCCCUCUCCUGCCCAAUUCCAGGACUCUACCAGGAGAGCACCAUUUUCCUCCCUCCAUUUACACAGAAAUAGCCUCAGUCUGGGGGAUGCUGGAAUGCUCCUCAUACUGGCUAUUUUGUUCUGCUCCAGUAUAUCCUUAUGUUAAUGGCAGCCUCUCUGUUCUAUUUUCAUACCUCUUUUAUGUAUCUAUUAUUAUUGAGUCAGCUUUUUACCAGAAGAUAACUGAGGCUGAGAAUAUUCCUAGCAAUGAAGUAUGAAGCAGGCCCUCCUUAAUUUACCUGAAGAACAUGUAACGAAUACAGUUAGGUUAUAAGGUGAAAUAAUGCAGUUAAGGUCAUGCUGCCCAAUUCCUCUUUCCUUCACCUGUAACUCUUUCUCAGGAGAUUGAUUUGGAAGAGAGAGUCCACUGUAGCUGGAACCAUUCUUUCACCCCACCCUGCCCUGGGCAACCCUGUGCUGACUGGAUGUGCUUGAUUAUUAUUUUAUUUUAUUUUAUUUUAAUUAUAUUUUAUUUUAUUUUAUUUUAUUUUAUUGUAAGAUGGAGUCUUGCUCUGUCGCCCAGGCUGGAGUGCAGUGGCACAAUCUUGGCUCACUGCAAGCUCCGCUUCCCGGGUUCAUGCCAUCCUCCUGCCUCAGCCUCCUGAGUAGCUGGGACUACAGGCACCUGCCACCACGCCUGGCUAAUUUUUUUGUAUUUUUAGUAGAGACGGGGUUUCACCAUGUUAGCCAGGAUGGUCUCGAUCUCCUGACCUCAUGAUCCGCCUGCUUCGGCCUCCCAAAGUGCUGGAAUUACAGGCGUGAGCCACCGCGCUGGACUGGAUGUGCUUGAUUCUACUCCCAGACCUGAGCCUCUUGUUUAAACUCAUCCAGUUUCUUUUCCCUCUUUCCUCUGGUCUAUCCCUAUGUUUGAUAUUUGAAGCUUCAUAUGUAAAACUCAAGAAUCCACCUUAUGGUUUCAUGUAGUAUUAUAUGGUAUGUAUUGUAACUGAAUCACAAAUUUAACUCACACUGCAACUCAGAUGUGUGAAGAAAAUGAGUUUCUUUCUUUCUUUUCUUAAUAGGGAGUCUGAUUUUUUCCUAAAUCUCUUUGUCAUUAGUUGGGAUAUGGGUCUGUGUAAAAUGAAUCAAAUGUUCAAUGUGGUUCAACUUGGUCUCAUUAAAUCAUGUUCACUCUGUCCUGGUUUAAA